rnacentral:rRNA from 1 species
GAAACGACUGCUAAGACUGGAUAGGAAAAGUAAAGGCAUCUUUACUUUUUUAAAAGACCUUCUUUGAAGGUAUGCUUAAGGAGGGGCUUGCGACACAUUAGUUAGUUGGCAGGGUAAAGGCCUACCAAGACUAUGAUGUGUAGCUGGACUGAGAGGUUGAACAGCCACAUUGGGACUGAGACACGGCCCAAACUCCUACGGGAGGCAGCAGUAGGGAAUUUUCGGCAAUGGAGGAAACUCUGACCGAGCAACGCCGCGUGAACGAUGAAGUACCUCGGUAUGUAAAGUUCUUUUAUUAAGGAAGAAAAAAGAGUGGAAAAACUCCCUUGACGGUACUUAAUGAAUAAGCCCCGGCUAAUUAUGUGCCAGCAGCCGCGGUAAUACAUAAGGGGCGAGCGUUAUCCGGAAUUAUUGGGCGUAAAGGGUGCGUAGGCGGUUUAAUAAGUCUAUAGUUUAAUUUCAGUGCUUAACGCUGUUGUGCUAUAGAAACUGUUUUACUAGAGUGAGUUAGAGGCAAGCGGAAUUCCAUGUGUAGCGGUAAAAUGCGUAAAUAUAUGGAGGAACACCAGAGGCGUAGGCGGCUUGCUGGGACUUUACUGACGCUGAGGCACGAAAGCGUGGGGAGCAAACAGGAUUAGAUACCCUGGUAGUCCACGCCGUAAACGAUGAGUACUAAGUGUCGGGUAAGACCGGUACUGAAGUUAACACAUUAAGUACUCCGCCUGAGUAGUACGUACGCAAGUAUGAAACUUAAAGGAAUUGACGGGACUCCGCACAAGCGGUGGAUCAUGUUGUUUAAUUCGAAGAUACACGAAAAACCUUACCAGGUCUUGACAUUUUCUUGCGAAGUUAUAGAAAUAUAAUGGAGGUUAUCAGGAAAACAGGUGGUGCAUGGUUGUCGUCAGCUCGUGUCGUGAGAUGUUAGGUUAAGUCCUAAAACGAGCGCAACCCUUGUCGUUAAUUGCCAGCAUGUAAUGAUGGGGACUUUAACGAGACUGCCAAUGAAAAAUUGGAGGAAGGUGGGGAUUACGUCAAAUCAUCAUGCCCCUUAUGAUCUGGGCUACAAACGUGAUACAAUGGUUGAUACAAAGAGUAGCUGAAACGCGAGUUCUUAGCCAAUCUCACAAAAUCAAUCUCAGUUCGGAUUGAAGUCUGCAACUCGACUUCAUGAAGUUGGAAUCGCUAGUAAUCGCGAAUCAGCAUGUCGCGGUGAAUACGUUCUCGGGGUUUGUACACACCACCCG